AGUGAACGCUGGCGGUAGGCCUAACACAUGCAAGUCGAACGGCAGCACAGUAAUAGCUUGCUCUUACGGGUGGCGAGUGGCGGACGGGUGAGGAAUACCUCAGAAUCUACUUUUUCGUGGGGGCUAACGUAGGGAAACUUACGCUAAUACCGCAUACGACCUACGGGUGAAAGCAUGGGAUCUUCGGAUCUUGCGCGAUUGAAUGAGCCGAUGUCGGAUUAGCUAGUUGGCGGGGUAAAGGCCCACCAAGGCGACGAUCCGUAGCUGGUCUGAGAGGAUGAUCAGCCACACUGGAACUGAGACACGGUCCAGACUCCUACGGGAGGCAGCAGUGGGGAAUAUUGGACAAUGGGCGCAAGCCUGAUCCAGCCAUACCGCGUGGGUGAAGAAGGCCUUCGGGUUGUAAAGCCCUUUUGUUGGGAAAGAAAAGCAGCAGGUUAAUACCCCGCUGUUCUGACGGUACCAAAAGAAUAAGCACCGGCUAACUUCGUG
rnacentral:rRNA from 1 species